CUGAAAUUGUACCAUCAGUGAAUUCUGUAUGUCCUUGUUUGGAAUACAACUCAAUUUUAAAACCUCAGAGUCAACAAAGUUCGGCUCUCCACUGCGGGUCGGCCCUCGUCAGAAGUACGAACCCCGACGCCCCGACUUGGGCCCAACAUUUCAUUGGAAACCUAUGGCCCGAUCGUCGAUGAUACAUCGAACUCUUACGAGAACCGUUCUGCCUACACUAAUGAAAGGCCAGCGAUAGCGAUAAAACCUCUCUAAGUUGAAGCCGUGCUUCAUCCACAAUCGACUCUCGGUCAGCGUAGCUGGCUAACUUGCCAACUUGGCU
rnacentral:lncRNA from 1 species